CCUACGGGGGGCAGCAGUGAGGAAUAUUGGUCAAUGGACGAGAGUCUGAACCAGCCAAGUAGCGUGAAGGAUGACUGCCCUAUGGGUUGUAAACUUCUUUUAUAUGGGAAUAAAAUGUUCCACGUGUGGGAUUUUGUAUGUACCAUAUGAAUAAGGAUCGGCUAACUCCGUGCCAGCAGCCGCGGUAAUACGGAGGAUCCGAGCGUUAUCCGGAUUUAUUGGGUUUAAAGGGAGCGUAGGUGGAUUGUUAAGUCAGUUGUGAAAGUUUGAGGCUCAACCGUAAAAUUGCAGUUGAAACUGGCAGUCUUGAGUACAGUAGAGGUGGGCGGAAUUCGGGGUGUAGCGGUGAAAUGCUUAGAUAUCACGAAGAACUCCGAUUGCGAAGGCAGUUCACUGGACUGCAACUGACACUGAGGCUCGAAAGUGUGGGUAUCAAACAGGAUUAGAUACCCCAGUAGU
rnacentral:rRNA from 1 species